rnacentral:lncRNA from 1 species
CGGAACGUCUUCAAGGAUUUUUCAUGAGUUUUUGGAUGGAAAGAAAGGGUCGCCGGAGUUCUUCUCAUUUGUCGGAGCAAGGUAAGCUCCUUCCCUCUUCUUCCUUCUUUUCUUGGUUGUCUUUUCAUCAUCCGCGAGCGACGGCAAGCUGCCGAAUUUGAGCCAAACAGGACGGUCCCUGUUUUGAUUUUACUUUCCUGCUUGCCGCCGACAACGGUCGCUGUUGAAGGGGGCUAUGGGUUUUGCCAUGGGUCUCGCCAUUGUCGAGAACCACCAUGAGUGGCCGACGUCGGCCUUCCUUGGCUGCAUAUGAGGGAGAGAGGAGAGAAAGGAGAUCCGGUCUCCUAUUUUGGAUGAGGAGAAGAGAAAAAGAAGCUUCUUCUCUCUCUUCUCAAUUAAUCAAUAAAUUAAAUUAGAUAAUUAAUUAAUCAAUUUAUAUUUUUUUCUUUAGAUGGUUUAGGAAAGUUUGGAAAGAAAAAAUGUUGGGGAUAAGGGUGAGGAUCCUGAUAAACCUCAAUAGAAGAUUUUAAAAAAUUAAUUUGAUUUAUUUUAUAAUAUUAAUUUAAUAUAUAUAGGAGAAUAGUCCAUCAGACAGGAGGGCAUCGGGUAGGAUUCUGACAUCCAGAGCAUAAAUUAGCGAGUCUAAUUUAUCACUGAUUGAGGUAAGAAUCGCUGUACAUGAUUACUAAAUAUAGAUAUAUACCAUUUUACUGUUGGAUUUGCUUGUGUUGAUGGAUUAUCAUGGUUGAGAUAUAAUCAUUCUUUGAAUGAUUUUUCGGUAUGAUUUACAUUAUUUAUUGAUUAUGCAUAUGUAUCAGUGGUUGAUAUUGUAGUUAUACAAAUAUGACAUUCUUUCUCUGAUCAUAUUGAAAAUUUAAAAUUUAUUUGAUGAAAAUAACAUGAAAUUAAUAUGAAAUAAAAAGAUAAAGAAUAUAUGGUUUGGACUAGCCUCAUCAUAGAAUAGUCCACCAGGAGUUUAUGCUUGGGACAGUCUUCACGGGCUUAUACUUGAAUCAAUCGGUCAGAAGCUCUUGUUUGGGACAGCCCAUCAAGAGCUUAUGCCUAGGACAGCCCCCAUGGACUUUCAUAUGUAGAACAGUCAGUCAGGAGUUCAUACCUGGGACAGCCUUGAUGGGCUUAUGAGUGAAAAUUUGAUCGGAUAGAGAUGAGGCAUAAUCUUAAUUAGUCCAAAGCCAAAAAGGAUGAAGAUUAUCAAACUGAAGUAAUGGAAAGAUGAAUCAAAUCUUAAGAUCAUGUAGAUUAAUGUCGAAUAAAGACCUCACUUGAUGGUAUAUGAUGAUCUAUUAUGUAUUCAAUACAUAUUUAUGCCAGUAUUUGAGUUAUUAUAUAUAUAUAUAUUAUGAGUUUUCAUGAAAUUGUUUUGAUAUUUAUACAUUUUUCACUUCAUCCAUUAUUCUGAUAUAGAUGUAUAGUGAUUCUCACUAAGUUGAAGAAACUCAUAUUCUUUUGUUAUUUUUUUCAGAACCACAGGAUGCUUAGCUCGGAUGGGUUGGACAAGAGAAGUCAAGUAUUGGAGCUUUUAAUAAUUUAGCUAGUUUAAAUUUUUUGAUACCAACAAAUAUUUGAAUGAUUGUAUUUGAACAAGUUGACUAUUUGAUUUGGAGGAGUGACUCAGUUGACAUGUUUGGUAUUUA